rnacentral:tRNA from 1 species
CCCCCUGUAGCUCAGCGGACAGAGCACUCUUUUGUCGAAGGAGCGGUCGCCGGUUCGAAUCCGGCCAGGGCUU